rnacentral:rRNA from 1 species
GAUGAACGCUAGCGGCAGGCCUAACACAUGCAAGUCGAGGGGUAGCAGGAAUAAGCUUGCUUAUUCGCUGACGACCGGCGCACGGGUGCGUAACGCGUAUGCAAUCUACCUCUUACUGGGGCAUAGCCCAGAGAAAUUUGGAUUAACUCCCCAUAGUACCAUUGGACCGCAUGGCCGAUGGUUUAAAGGUUACGGUAAGAGAUGAGCAUGCGUCCCAUUAGUUAGUUGGUGAGGUAACGGCUCACCAAGACUCCGAUGGGUAGGGGUUCUGAGAGGAUGAUCCCCCACACUGGUACUGAGACACGGACCAGACUCCUACGGGAGGCAGCAGUGAGGAAUAUUGCGCAAUGGACGAAAGUCUGACGCAGCCAUGCCGCGUGCAGGAUGAAGGCUACGCGUUGUAAACUGCUUUUAUCUUAAGAACACCGGACGUUCCCGCUUGACGUAA